rnacentral:rRNA from 1 species
GACGAACGCUGGCGGCGUGCCUAAUACAUGCAAGUCGAACGCUGAAGGAGGAGCUUGCUUCUCUGGAUGAGUUGCGAACGGGUGAGUAACGCGUAGGUAACCUGCCUGGUAGCGGGGGAUAACUAUUGGAAACGAUAGCUAAUACCGCAUAAGAGUAGAUGUUGCAUGACAUUUGCUUAAAAGGUGCAAUUGCAUCACUACCAGAUGGACCUGCGUUGUAUUAGCUAGUUGGUGGGGUAACGGCUUACCAAGGCGACGAUACAUAGCCAACCUGAGAGGGUGAUCGGCCACACUGGGACUGAGACACGGCCCAGACUCCUACGGGAGGCAGCAGUAGGGAAUCUUCGGCAAUGGACGGAAGUCUGACCGAGCAACGCCGCGUGAGUGAAGAAGGUUGUCGGAUCGUAAAGCUCUGUUGUAAGAGAAGAACGAGUGUGAGAGUGGAAAGUUCACACUGUGACGGUAGCUUACCAGAAAGGGACGGCUAACUACGUG